rnacentral:rRNA from 1 species
UACGUAGGGGGCUAGCGUUGUCCGGAAUCAUUGGGCGUAAAGAGCGCGUAGGCGGCCCGGUAAGUCCGCUGUGAAAGUCGGGGGCUCAACCCUCGAAUGCCGGUGGAUACUGCCGGGCUAGAGUGCGGAAGAGGCGAGUGGAAUUCCUGGUGUAGCGGUGAAAUGCGCAGAUAUCAGGAGGAACACCGAUUGCGAAGGCAGCUCGCUGGGACGUUACUGACGCUGAGACGCGAAAGCGUGGGGAGCAAACAGG